rnacentral:rRNA from 1 species
UCCGUAGGCGGGUAAUUAAGUCAGAGGUGAAAUCCCACAGCUUAACUGUAGAAUUGCCUUAGAUACUGGUUAUCUUGAGUUUUAGUGAAGUAGAUAGAAUGUGUAGUGUAGCGGUGAAAUGCAUAGAUAUUACACAGAAUACCGAUUGCGAAGGCAGUCUACUAACUAACAACUGACGCUAAUGGACGAAAGCGUGGGGAGCGAACAGGAUUAGAUACCCUGGUAGUCC